rnacentral:rRNA from 1 species
GUGUCAGCCGCCGCGGUAAUACGGGGGGGGCAAGCGUUGUUCGGAAUUACUGGGCGUAAAGGGUUCGUAGGUGGCUCGCUAAGUCAGACGUGAAAUCCCUCAGCUUAACUGGGGAACUGCGUCUGAGACUGGCAAGCUCGAGUGCAGGAGAGGAACGCGGAAUUCCAGGUGUAGCGGUGAAAUGCGUAGAUAUCUGGAGGAACACCGGUGGCGAAGGCGGCGUUCUGGACUGCAACUGACACUGAUGAACGAAAGCCAGGGGAGCAAACGGGAUUAGAUACCCCCGUAGUCC